UUCGUGACUAAUUGCUUUUUCUUUGUUAUGCAUUGUUUUGAUUAGGCACAAAGGUGAAAAUAUGCGAUUUUGACCAACAUUUUUGAUCGGCUUCGUACAUGCUUAUUUUUUCUCCACUUGGUAUGAAAAGCAUGUCAUUGAAUAGCUAAAAGCCUGAUCUUUCCGAAUAUGAAUACCAAAUGUUCAUACGCCGAGUGAUUCACGUAUAAUAGCGCGCUGAAGUUCGAUUACCUUUUUUUAUACACCCUGUAUACCUACAAUGUAUAUCAUCAUCCUACAAUGUAUAUCAUCAUACUACGGAGUACUUACAUACAGAAGUCAGGUUAAUAUAGCGUUAAGGCCCGGUCACACUACACGACGAUAACGAUACGAUAAAUUGUAAACACGCGAUAAUUGGCAAAAGAAUUGUGUUAGUGUCCACACCACAACGAAAAUGAUAAAAUUAUCGUUGAACGAUAACGAUUUUAAAAUCGCUCACCUGAGCGUUUUUUUUUUCAGUCGGACGAUAACGAUAAAUUUUUGACCAAUCAGCGCGCGUAUACAAGUUAUCGUAUCGUUAUCGUUGUGUAGUGUGACCUGGGCUUAAGGGAUUUUUUUCGGUUAUAUUUUCAUGUCACGAAAUAUGAUUGGUUAGGAGGUUAUAG